CCCCGGUAAACGGCGGCCGUAACUAUAACGGUCCUAAGGUAGCGAAAUUCCUUGUCGGGUAAGUUCCGACCUGCACGAAUGGCGUAAUGAUGGCCAGGCUGUCUCCACCCGAGACUCAGUGAAAUUGAACUCGCUGUGAAGAUGCAGUGUACCCGCGGCAAGACGGAAAGACCCCGUGAACCUUUACUAUAGCUUGACACUGAACAUUGAGCCUUGAUGUGUAGGAUAGGUGGGAGGCUUUGAAGUGUGGACGCCAGUCUGCAUGGAGCCGACCUUGAAAUACCACCCUUUAAUGUUUGAUGUUCUAACGUGGACCCGUAAUCCGGGUUGCGGACAGUGUCUGGUGGGUAGUUUGACUGGGGCGGUCUCCUCCUAAAGAGUAACGGAGGAGCACGAAGGUUGGCUAAUCCUGGUCGGACAUCAGGAGGUUAGUGCAAUGGCAUAAGCCAGCUUGACUGCGAGCGUGACGGCGCGAGCAGGUGCGAAAGCAGGUCAUAGUGAUCCGGUGGUUCUGAAUGGAAGGGCCAUCGCUCAACGGAUAAAAGGUACUCCGGGGAUAACAGGCUGAUACCGCCCAAGAGUUCAUAUCGACGGCGGUGUUUGGCACCUCGAUGUCGGCUCAUCACAUCCUGGGGCUGAAGUAGGUCCCAAGGGUAUGGCUGUUCGCCAUUUAAAGUGGUACGCGAGCUGGGUUUAGAACGUCGUGAGACAGUUCGGUCCCUAUCUGCCGUGGGCGCUGGAGAACUGAGGGGGGCUGCUCCUAGUACGAGAGGACCGGAGUGGACGCAUCACUGGUGUUCGGGUUGUCAUGCCAAUGGCACUGCCCGGUAGCUAAAUGCGGAAGAGAUAAGUGCUGAAAGCA
rnacentral:rRNA from 4 species